ensembl:lncRNA
CUGAAUUGAAAAUAUAUUCGAGCGACUUGGUUUAAAGGUCAGACAAAAGAUCACGCUGUUUAUUGAAAUGAUGACCGAAAGGAUGUAAACAAAUACUGACCGGCUUUAUACUUCUAUACUACACUAUCCAACCCUACCUUUUGGUUGGACCCAGGAACCCGGCCAGAUGUCUCCUGUGUCGUUUCCAUUCUCCCUCCUUCAGAAGACUUUCUCUGUUUUUAUAUCGUUUACAAAUACAACGCGUUUUAAAAUAACCGUCGACCCGCUGCACCUGUUCAGCUGCUUCAGUUCAGCCAAACAGAGGCGUAUUCAUGCAUUUAAUUCAUGGCCUUUUUUCCCUCUGAAUCAGGAUGAAUCAGCACACAUCGUCCCGUCUUUGAAAUGCGAUCCGGGACUCUCGGUAGAAAAAAAAGCUCUGAGCACUUUCAGGCUGGCGGAUCAGAGUCGUGUCAGAUAUGCUGCUCCCUAAUCUCACCAAUCAAUCAGUGUCUGCUUAGAAGUGCCAGAGAGCCUCGGGGGGGUCGGCGUGGAGGGGGGGGGUACAUCAUCUGUACACCGCUGAACUCAAACCUGUUCAAAAGUCAGAGCGUGGCAACAGGACGACGUCUGCAGACCUGUGGAAAUACUCUGCAAAAGAGUUGUGAAAACUUCAUCACUCCAUAACAAUCGAUAAAUAGUCACAGCUAAAUAAGUGAGAAUAGAAAAUACAAAUAAUGCACAGUUUGUAACAGUUCUGUAGUAGUACUUUUAUUUGAGCCAAGGAUCUGUUUAUAUCUCGACAGUAGUAACACGGCUCUCCCUAAGAGGCUUCGUCUCAUUAAGAACAUCAACCUAAUCGCCUUCAUUAAGCUGAUUGACUCGGAGAGGCUGUUUGUUUUUCUUUCCCUCUGGAUAGAUUUUGUGUUUUUUUUUCAGCCGCCAAGAAACUGUCAGUGUGUUUCAGCUCUUUGUCCCUGACGAAAUGUUUGGGCUGAAAAUGAGGCAAGAACAAGACAAUUGGGUGGAAACUUUGGGAUCGGACUACAGAUCAGGGGCCGUAGUUUCCUUUAAAGCUGCUGGAAUGAUAUCUGCUUUGAGGAAUUUAAACAGAUAUCGUUCCAUGAAGAGUCGUUAAAAACUCAAAGAUGGGGCGUGUAAAGCAAUGCAGAUGUGGCUCAGUUGGAAGGACGCAGCGCGGUUUAUAUUUAGCUCGCACGGAGCAGAGGGAAGCGAAACCCAAACGAGCUCUGCAGACCGAAGCCAAGUCCGGCAGACGUGACGUCGCGCGCCCGGCGCGUCUUUCUCCCCUCCGAGCCCGCCGGGGGCCGACGUUUUCCUCCGCCCGCGGCGGGCUGUGAGAGGCAGGAUUCCCGGGGAGAGUCCAGAGUACACAGUUUACAGCUCGCCGCACUUCAGGCCUUAAUGCUCCACCAAGCCUCGCUGCACAUUUCCACUUCAACACCCACUUUAAAGCGCGCAAACGACUCCGGUUACUGUUUCAUUACCGGCCUAUAAACUCCGAGAUAAGUGGCUCCGUCACAUCCAUCUGAGGGGCGUCCAAGACGUCGCCCGCAAAGGCCCCGCGUCAGCGCGCAGGCCGCCGUCUGUUUGGGGAGAACUCGAUGCUGCGUUUAUGGCCACCGACGGGCCCGUGGUAAUUCGCGUCACACGGUGUCCCCGCUCUUUGCCUUCGGGGAGGAGGGCGAGAGCGGCGUGAGGAGCUGACGGGGAAACGCUUUUGAGUUUCAGGGGUUCGUGCUCCUUCUGAGGAAGGAGACGGCGGAAAGAAAGACGUCUCUGACAAGCUGUCCUCGUCGUAUCCGCAGGGAGGCGUUCUGUAUGUUACGCCAAAGAUGGUGGACGAAGCCCACGCGGCGGGGAGGGGGUCAAUCAGACAGCCAUCUUUUUACAUCGUUGAGCAAAAUUCAGUUUCCUGAGGAGACAAAAAAUAAUUUUGAAAAGACGUAGCAGCGAAGUAACAAAGCAACAAAGUAACAAGCUAACAAACUAACAAAGCAACAAGCUAACAAAGUAACAAGCUAACAAAGCAACAAAGUAACAAACCAAGAA